CGGACGGGUGAGUAACGCGUGGGUAACCUGCCUCAUACAGGGGGAUAACAGUUGGAAACGACUGCUAAUACCGCAUAAGCGCACAGGAUUGCAUGAUCCGGUGUGAAAAACUCCGGUGGUAUGAGAUGGACCCGCGUCUGAUUAGCCAGUUGGCAGGGUAACGGCCUACCAAAGCGACGAUCAGUAGCCGACCUGAGAGGGUGACCGGCCACAUUGGGACUGAGACACGGCCCAAACUCCUACGGGAGGCAGCAUG
rnacentral:rRNA from 1 species